GCAAGCGGUGGAGCUGUGGUUUAAUUCGAAGCAACGCGAAGAACCUUACCAGGUCUUGACAUCCUCUGACAACCCUAGAGAUAGGGCUUCUCCUUCGGGAGCAGAGUGACAGGUGGUGCAUGGUUGUCGUCAGCUCGUGUCGUGAGAUGUUGGGUUAAGUCCCGCAACGAGCGCAACCCUUGAUCUUAGUUGCCAUCAUUUAGUUGGGCACUCUAAGGUGACUGCCGGUGACAAACCGGAGGAAGGUGGGGAUGACGUCAAAUCAUCAUGCCCCUUAUGACCUGGGCUACACACGUGCUACAAUGGACGGUACAAAGAGCUGCAAGACCGCGAGGUGGAGCUAAUCUCAUAAAACCGUUCUCAGUUCGGAUUGUAGGCUGCAACUCGCCGACAUGAAGCUGGAAUCGCUAGUAAUCCCGGAUCACCAUGCCGCGGUGAGGACCUUCCCGGGCCGGGGGAUAACUAACAAA
rnacentral:rRNA from 1 species